UGAAAGCUGCAAGCAUAUGAUUAUGAGAUGGUGGUUCUCGACAUUUACCACAACCUCCCUGCUAAACCGCACAGCAGCCAACUCUCAAGAUUUCCUCUGGGGUAGAGGGAUUUUUCUCCCCACAUGCAGUCCAGCUCCAUGGGAAAACAUUAGCAGUGACAAAUGACUCUCCGAACCAAUGCUCGAAUCUGAGGCACUGGGGUGAAGGAAAGAUUUAUGUGGACCAGCUGAUGGGGAAGGAAGACUUCCCUAAAGAGGCUCCCAUCUCUGACCUACUGACACCUGCUGCCUACGUAUGGUAUCUUUGCAAUAACUUCCUCGAGCCACUCUCUCAUUUUCUUCGAGCCACUCUGCAUUUUUUUCUGGGUAAAGAAAUCACUAAACUGACAUAUUUUCCUUAUUCACAAGGUAUGUAUGUAUGUAUGUAUGUAUGUAUGUAUGUAUGUAUUUAUUUAUUUAUUUAUUUAUUUAUUUAUUUAUUUUUACCACGUUUGUAGAUUUGUAUAACGUUCUCCUCAGCUUUCUUAAGUCUUUUGUAAAAGGGAGGAAGUUGAAGAGUUUCCUAUCAGGGGCGCCUGGGUGGCUCCGCUGGUUAAGUGGCUCAGGUCAUGAUCUCAGGGUCCUGGCAUCGAGCCUCA